rnacentral:sRNA from 1 species
GGUUCCCUUAUCUCUCUCGUCUUAAUGCGAUGUAGCAUCUGCCAACCCCGCUUCAACUCAGCAACGUGCUCACGACCUGUGUCGGUAUUGCGUGUGGGGCGAUCGAAAACGGAAAACAGGACUGAGGCAGAAGUCAUCCUGUUCAUUUGACGAGGGGGAUAAUCAUGACGCAAGUGACUCCUGUUGUACAUGUACAGUACAUCUGCAGGCACCAUUUUACCCAGCUAAAGGAAUCCUACCCCCGAGGCCGAAAGAGCUUGAAAUCGCCCACCUGAGUUACAAUAUUCGGUGUAAAAAAUAUAUAAU